CAUGAAGGCUUUCUUCCCAAGUUUGUAAGACGUCUAAAGGAGAUCGAGUUUUUAAGAGAAGAUUUGGUCUUCACUGUUCAUAGCACAGAGGGUACAGAUUCAGGAGUUGACACAUAUUUUGGUCUCUGCACUUAUCCUGGUCGAGAACUGCGACAUCGUAUUGACUUGAAGGUGUAUCCAAGGGAUAUAUAUGCAUUUGGACUGAUAGCAUGGACGG
rnacentral:misc_RNA from 1 species